UACGAAGGGGGCUAGCGUUGUUCGGAUUUACUGGGCGUAAAGCGCACGUAGGCGGAUCUUUAAGUCAGAGGUGAAAUCCCAAGGCUCAACCUUGGAACUGCCUUUGAUACUGGGGAUCUUGAGUCCGGGAGAGGUGAGUGGAACUGCGAGUGUAGAGGUGAAAUUCGUAGAUAUUCGCAAGAACACCAGUGGCGAAGGCGGCUCACUGGCCCGGUACUGACGCUGAGGUGCGAAAGCGUGGGGAGCAAACGGG
rnacentral:rRNA from 1 species